AAGCUCGUAGUUGAAUUUCGGGAUCAAUGGAUUGGUCAUGCCGUCGGUAUGUACUGGUCAUAUUGGUUCUCACCUUCUAAGGAACCAUAAUGUCAUUCAUUUGAUGUUUUGGGGAAUUAGGACUGUUACCUUGAAAAAAUUAGAGUGUUUAAAGCAGGCUAACGCUUGAAUACAUUAGCAUGGAAUAAUGAAAUAGGACAUCGCAUUCUAUUUUGUUGGUUUUUAGGAUCGAUGUAAUGAUUAAUAGGGAUAGUUGGGGGCAUUAGUAUUCAAUUGUCAGAGGUGAAAUUCUUGGAUUUAUUGAAGACUAACUACUGCGAAAGCAUUUGCCAAGGAUGUUUUCAUUAAUCAAGAACGAAGGUUAGGGGAUCGAAGACGAUCAGAUACCGUCGUAGUCUUAACCAUAAACUAUGCCGACUAGGGAUCGGAUGAUGUUGAUUUUUUAAUGACUCAUUCGGCACCUUACGGGAAACCAAAGUGUUUGGGUUCCGGGGGGAGUAUGGUCGCAAGGCUGAAACUUAAAGGAAUUGACGGAAGGGCACCACCAGGGGUGGAGCCUGCGGCUUAAUUUGACUCAACACGGAGAAACUCACCAGGUCCAGACAUAGUAAGGAUUGACAGAUUGAGAGCUCUUUCUUGAUUCUAUGGGUG
rnacentral:rRNA from 1 species